GUGAUUCUCCCGAAUGAGCUGUACCAGCUUCCUCAGCUCCUCAUUCUCCCUCACCAGCCUCUCGAUCUGAUGCCGAAGCCCCUCAUAAUUGGUGCCUGUUCUGUCCAGCUUCCUGCCGCCCCAGCAAGCUCAGCUCUGCUCUCUAGGCUUCCCUGAGGCCAUGUCUCUACUGUGGCGCUUACCCGGCUCUGUGCUGGUAGCUGCUGCCUCCGUAUGCCUCACUUUACAGUGAGGCUGGGGGUUGGGCACUUCCCCAGCAGCCCGCAAAGGGCCCAGGGGCACAACAGGUAGGUGACCAGUGAGUAGCUGUUGAAUGAAAGCUAAUCGCGCACCUUCCUGGCCAGGGGCCCUUUCCUUGGGAGGUUGGGCACACCUGGAUUUAGCCUGUCAGCCUCUGUCAGUCUUCUCCUGGGGACAUUCCACCCUCCAUACCUGGACACUGGCCCUACUUUUUUCCAACCCAGGUGCUCAAAGCCUUUCUCUGACUGCCGGCCCAGGAGCUCCCUGGUCCAAGCACCUGGCUCUCUAUAGCUUGGACUUUCCAUUUCUGGCGACUCAGGCUCCCCUAUUCCAAGUCCCCCAUGGCAGCCCUCUGUGCCCACACCUCUGUUCUCUGACUCCUUGAAUUUUCGUGCCUGUGGUCCUUCAAGAACCCAAGACAUGCCCCUCGUCAGGUUGUCAGGUUCCGAGAAUUCAGACCUAUGAGUCCUCAGCACGCUCUCUUUUUUAAAAGCUAUCUACACAGCAAUCCUGGGGGGCCUGACCUUGGGAGUUAAGCAAGGCGGUGUCCCAGGGGUCUGCACUGGCUCUGUAGCCAUCUGUGCUCAGGCGGAGAGGACGGCGAAGCCCAGGUCUAAGCCUGAGGGCGUGCUCCUGGUAGGCAGGUGGGGCGGGGAUGGGCUUGGAGUCAGCCUGAGUUGAACAUUCUACCUGGACCUCACAGUGGGGGCCUGCCCCCACCCUCCUCCGACACCCUACGCUGUAAUCCUGGCUGAGUCGCCCUGGCCCUGGAGGCCUGGCCGGACGUCUCUUCACCACCCUCUGCUGUUUGUAGGACAUCCCAUCCUCUGGCGUGGGAAAACGAGCCUCUCACGGCCUUCCGGGUCGCCUGUACCAUCCGGCCUGGCUUCACUGUUGGCCUCUCCUGGGGUUGAUGCAUCUGGGCUGGUUAAAUUGAUGGCUCAGCGUGGCUGGGUGCCCACGUGCUUGGUCAAACCCUGGUUCAGACAUUGCUGUGAAAGUAUUUUGUAGUGUGAUUAACAUCCACAAUCGUUGAUUUUAAGUCAAGGAGGUCACCUUCAAUCAUGUGGGCAGACCUCAUCUAAUCAGUUGAAGGCCUUAAGAGCAGAAAGCUGGGGUUUUCCAGGAAAAGAGCAUGUUGGCCUCAGUGCUGUCCCGGAGGCCCUGCCUCGGUGUCCAGGCCAUUGGCCUGCAGAUAUGGACAAUUGUAUGAACCAGUUCCUGAAAAUAAAUAUCUUCAUACCCGAGAAA